GAUAAACGCUGGCGGCGUGCCUAAUACAUGCAAGUCGAGCGAACAGACGAGGAGCUUGCUCCUCUGAUGUUAGCGGCGGACGGGUGAGUAACACGUGGAUAACCUACCUAUAAGACUGGGAUAACUUCGGGAAACCGGAGCUAAUACCGGAUAACAUGUUGAACCGCAUGGUUCAACAGUGAAAGACGGUCUUGCUGUCACUUAUAGAUGGAUCCGCGCCGCAUUAGCUAGUUGGUAAGGUAACGGCUUACCAAGGCAACGAUGCGUAGCCGACCUGAGAGGGUGAUCGGCCACACUGGAACUGAGACACGGUCCAGACUCCUACGGGAGGCAGCAGUAGGGAAUCUUCCGCAAUGGGCGAAAGCCUGACGGAGCAUCGCCGCGUGAGUGAAGAAGGUCUUCGGAUCGUAAAACUCUGUUAUUAGGGAAGAACAAAUGUGUAAGUAACUAUGCACGUCUUGACGGUACCUAAUCAGAAAGCCACGGCUAACUACGUG
rnacentral:rRNA from 1 species